rnacentral:rRNA from 1 species
CAGUCGCCACGGGAAUACGUAGGGUGCGAGCGUUAAUCGGAAUUACUGGGCGUAAAGCGUGCGCAGGCGGUUUUGUAAGACAGGCGUGAAAUCCCCGGGCUCAACCUGGGAAUGGCGCUUGUGACUGCAAAGCUAGAGUGCGGCAGAGGGGGAUGGAAUUCCGCGUGUAGCAGUGAAAUGCGUAGAGAUGUGGAGGAACACCGAUGGCGAAGGCAGCCCCCUGGGCCAAUACUGACGCUCAUGCACGAAAGCGUGGGGAGCAAACAGGAUUAGAUACCCCCGUAGUCCUGUCUCUUAUACC